ACGACCUUACUCUUAGGGAUCAUUUCUAUAGUAAGUGUCGCCAGGACGUCAGGUAACACUGACGGGACCUAACACCACGAGGACGAGACAAAGUGCACCCUUCUGAGCGCGAAGCGGGCAGGGACCGCCGCUGGUACAUAGCAGCACGGCUCCUGUUAUUGAUGAACGUUCCUCUCCUCCCAAAGCGGGGAGCUGGAGGAAGGGUGCACAUUCUGAGUGGU